rnacentral:rRNA from 1 species
CAGUCACGGGGGUCCGCAAGGACAACCGGCGAACGGGUGCGUAACACGUGAGCAAUCUGCCGAUUUCUGGGGGAUAGCCGGUCCAACGACCGGGUAAUACCGCAUACGCUCAUUGGGGGGCAUUCCCCGAUGAGGAAACCUCCGGGGGAAAUCGAGGAGCUCGCGGCCUAUCAGCUAGUUGGUGCGGUAACGGCGCACCAAGGCGACGACGGGUAGCUGGUCUGAGAGGAUGGCCAGCCACAUUGGGACUGCGACACGGCCCAGACUCCUACGGGAGGCAGCAGUGGGGAAUAUUGCGCAAUGGACGAAAGUCUGACGCAGCGACGCCGCGUGUGGGAUGAAGCUUUUCGGAGUGUAAACCACUGUUGCUCGGGACGAACAUCCCUUUUUGAGGGGACUGACGGUACCGAGUGAGGAAGCACCGGCUAACUCUGUGCCAGCAGCCGCGGUAAUACAGAGGGUGCGAGCGUUGUCCGGAAUCACUGGGCGUAAAGGGCGCGUAGGUGGCUUGGUAAGCGUGUGGUGAAAGCUCGGGGCUCAACCCCGAGUCGGCCAUGCGAACUGCCGAGCUGGAGCAUGGUAGAGGCAGGUGGAAUUCCGGGUGUAGCGGUGGAAUGCGUAGAUAUCCGGAAGAACACCGGUGGCGAAGGCGGCCUGCUGGGCCAUUGCUGACACUGAGGCGCGACAGCGUGGGAGCAAACAGGAUUAGAUACCCUGGUAGU